rnacentral:rRNA from 1 species
GACGAAGGGGGCUAGCGUUGUUCGGAAUUACUGGGCGUAAAGCGCGUGUAGGCGGUUGCCAAAGUCGGGGGUGAAAGCCUUGAGCUUAACUCAAGAAAUGCACUCGAUACUUGGUGACUAGAGGACCGGAGAGGAUAGUGGAAUUCCCAGUGUAGUGGUGAAAUACGUAGAGAUUGGGAAGAACACCAGUGGCGAAGGCGGCUAUCUGGACGGUUUCUGACGCUAAGACGCGAAAGCGUGGGGAGCAAACAGG